rnacentral:rRNA from 1 species
AAGAGUUUGAUCAUGGCUCAGAUUGAACGCUGGCGGCAGGCCUAACACAUGCAAGUCGAACGGUAACAGGAAGCAGCUUGCUGCUUUGCUGACGAGUGGCGGACGGGUGAGUAAUGUCUGGGAAACUGCCUGAUGGAGGGGGAUAACUACUGGAAACGGUGGCUAAUACCGCAUAACGUCGCAAGACCAAAGAGGGGGACCUUCGGGCCUCUUGCCAUCAGAUGUGCCCAGAUGGGAUUAGCUUGUUGGUGAGGUAACGGCUCACCAAGGCGACGAUCCCUAGCUGGUCUGAGAGGAUGACCAGCCACACUGGAACUGAGACACGGUCCAGACUCCUACGGGAGGCAGCAGUGGGGAAUAUUGCACAAUGGGCGCAAGCCUGAUGCAGCCAUGCCGCGUGUAUGAAGAAGGCCUUCGGGUUGUAAAGUACUUUCAGCGGGGAGGAAGGUGUUGUGGUUAAUAACCGCAGCAAUUGACGUUACCCGCAGAAGAAGCACCGGCUAACUCCGUGCCAGCAGCCGCGGUAAUACGGAGGGUGCAAGCGUUAAUCGGAAUUACUGGGCGUAAAGCGCACGCAGGCGGUCUGUCAAGUCGGAUGUGAAAUCCCCGGGCUCAACCUGGGAACUGCAUUCGAAACUGGCAGGCUUGAGUCUUGUAGAGGGGGGUAGAAUUCCAGGUGUAGCGGUGAAAUGCGUAGAGAUCUGGAGGAAUA